GUUUGGUCCUAGCCUUAUCCUCAACUAUUACUCAACUUACACAUGCAAGUCUCCGCACACCCGUGAGAACGCCCUCACCCCUCUAACAGGACGAGGAGCCGGUAUCAGGCACACAACAUUUGCCCAUAACACCUAGCCACGCCACACCCCCAAGGGUACUCAGCAGUGAUAAACAUUGUCCAUUAGCGCCAGCUUGACUCAGUCAGAGUAACGAGAGCCGGCCAAUUCGGUGCCAGCCGCCGCGGUUACCCCGCUUGGCUCAAGUUGACAUUAUCGGCGUUAAGCGUGAUUAAAGUACCUCCACCUAUUAGAAUCAAACUCUGACUAAGUUGUGACACACUUGUCCUCGAGAAGCCCCCAAACGAAAGUUAUUCUAACCCCCUACUUGAAUCCACGACAGCUGGGGCACAAACUGGGAUCAGGUACCCCACUAUGCCCAGCCGUAAAAUAUUUACCUACCCCUACACCCGCCAGGGAAUUACGAGCCCAACCUUAAAACCCAAAGGACUUGACGGUGCCCCACCCACCUAGAGGAGCCUGUUCUAUAAUCGACACCCCCCGAUAUACCUUACCACUUCUAGCUACUCAGUCUGUAUACCUCCGUCGUAAGCUUACCAUGUGAACGCACUAGUGAGCUAAAAGAUCUAACAUCAACACGUCAGGUCAAGGUGCAGCUUACGAAGCGGAAAGCAAUGGGCUACAAUUUCUAUGACAGAACACACGAAAAACUACAUGCAACACAGUCACGAAGGUGGAUUUAGUAGUAAAAAGAAAACAGAGAGUUCUUUUUAAUUAUGGCGCUGGGACGCGUACACACCGCCCGUCACCCUCUUCAAGCCCACACAUCAAGAAGAGGCAAGUCGUAACAUGGUAAGCGUACUGGAAAGUGCGCUUGGACUAACAAAAUGUAGCUUAACCUAAAGCAUCUUGCUUACACCAAGAUAGAUGUCAGUAAAUAGACCAUUUUGAGCCUGAACCCAAGCCCCACAAUACCUCAACUUUACCCCCCCCCCCAAAAAACAUUUUUCCCACCAAGUAACGGCGAUUAAAAAGUGACUAGGAGCCAUAAAUAUAGUACCGCAAGGGAAAUGUGAAAUAAAAUGAAAAACCUAAAGCACAUAAUAGCAAAGUUUAAACCUUGUACCUUUUGCAUCAUGGUCUAGCUAGUUCAACCAAGCAAAACGCUCUUGAAGUUUGACCCCCCGAAACUAAGCGAGCUACUCCAAAGCAGCCUCACAGGGCCACCCCGUCUCUGUAGCAAAAGAGUGGAAAGACUUUAGAGUAGAAGUGACACACCUACCGAGCUUAGAGAUAGCUGGUUAUUCAAGAAAGGGAUUUUAGUCCACCUCUAAGUUUUCCAAGUACUAUUAAACACCCAAUAAACUUAGAAGCCAUUCAAAUAAGGUACAGCCUGUUUGAAAAAGGAGACAGCCUACAAUACAGGGUAACGACCUACACACGUGACUAAGUCAGCCUAAGAGCAGCUAACUUCUAAAAAGCGUCCAAGCUUCAUCACAACUCCUAACCAAUCCCACAGUCGACUCGCAACCCCCAACCACUACUGAAUACUCCCAUACCCCUAUGGGAAAUAUAAUGCUAGAACUAGUAACAAGAAGAAGACCUUCUCCAAAAUGUAAGUAUAAGCCAAAAUGAACCCUCGCCGGCGUCUACCGCCAAAAGCCUCAGUAUCAACACCACAAGAAAAUCAUACUCCCACUGGCGUUAACCUUACACUAGAACAUUCCCGGAAAGAUUAAAAGAGGGGGAAGGAACUCGGCAAACAUUAGCCCCGCCUGUUUACCAAAAACAUCGCCUCUUGACAAAAUAUAAGAGGUCUAGCCUGCCCAGUGACUUAAGUUAAACGGCCGCGGUACCCUAACCGUGCGAAGGUAGCACAAUCACUUGUUCUCUAAAUUAGGACCAGUAUGAACGGCCUCACGAGAGCUAUACUGUCUCCCCCCUCCAAUCAGUGAAACUGAUCUCCUCGUGAAGAAGCGAGGAUACCUAUAUAAGACGAGAAGACCCCAUGGAGCUUUAAACUUGUUCCACUUCCUAAACUACACCAAUUAAUUCAGGUAAACAAUGGCUACGAGUCUUUCGGCUGGGGAGACCACGGAGAAAAACUAAACCUCCGCGAUGAAAGGGGCAACCCUAAUCAAAGAGCUACUGCUCAAAGAAUCAAUAAACUGACAUAAUUGACCCAAAUUUUUUGACCAACGAACCAAGUUACCCUGGGGAUAACAGCGCAAUCCAUUUCAAGAGACCCCAUCAACAAAUGGGCUUACGACCUCGAUGUUGGAUCAGGGUAUCCUAGUGGUGCAGCCGCU
rnacentral:ncRNA from 1 species